rnacentral:rRNA from 1 species
UACAGAGGUCCCAAGCGUUGUUCGGAUUCAUUGGGCGUAAAGGGUGCGUAGGCGGCGCGGUAAGUCGGGUGUGAAAUCUCGGUGCUUAACUCCGAAACUGCAUUCGAUACUGCCGUGCUUGAGGACUGGAGAGGAGACUGGAAUUUACGGUGUAGCGGUGAGAUGCGUAGAUAUCGUAAGGAAGACCAGGGGCGAAGGCGGUCUCUGGACAGUUCCUGACGCUGAGGCACGAAGGCCAGGGGAGCAAACGGG